rnacentral:lncRNA from 1 species
UGGCAUUCUCACCAGGUACUUUCCCUCAUUCUUUUAUUCCAUGUCCACUGCUUUUGAAUUCCUUUGUGCCAUGGAGGAAAGGUCAAGACUGCUUUUUGGCUGUGAACUAACCGCCAAGACUUGAUUUAUUUCCUGAAAUUGCAUGUGAUGAAAGAAGAGGAAAAUUCCUAUCAGAAAUCUCUAGGCCACCCUGGACUAUGUGGACCUAGGCAGAACACUGGAAAGGAAACUCCCAAGAUUUCUGACAGAAGCAGAUAAGCUAAG